GUGAAUCAUCGAAUCUUUGAACGCACAUUGCGCCCGCCGGUAUUCCGGCGGGCAUGCCUGUUCGAGCGUCAUUUCAACCCUCAGGCUCGCCUGGUGUUGGGGCACCACCGCUGUGGGCCCCCAAAUGCAGCGGCUGCACGCCUGUCCCAGCGAAGUAACCUCCGCGAAGGGCAGCGCUGACCACGCCGUUAACUCUCCUAAAGUUGACCUCGGAUCAGGUAGGAAUACCCGCUGAACUUAAGCAUAUCAAUAAGCGGAGGA
rnacentral:misc_RNA from 1 species